GAGAGGCCACAUUUCUACAAAAAAGGAAAAAAACGUUAGCUGGGGAUGAUGGUUCAUUUCUGUUGUCUCAGUUACAUGGAAGGCUGAGGUGAGAAGAUUGCUUGGGCCCAGGAGGUCAAGGCUACAGUGAACCAUGAUCAGUCACACCACUGCACGCCAGCCUGGGUGGCAAAGAGAGACCCGGUCCCCCCACAGCUGAGAAAAGUAUCAUCAGAGAGAAAGAAAGGCAGGAAUUUUCCAGAUAAAAGGAGACAAAAGAGACUAAAUAAAUGUGAUGAGGGUCAAAGGAGACGAGAUGAAAAGACUGCAUGUUAUUCUAGAAACUGCCCCAAAUCUUCCAUGGAUGCUUCUACUACGGCACCAUUCAAAAUAAUUUUCGUGUGUAAUUUAAGAUUUUCAAAAAUAAAUAUAUAUUUAAAGCAAUCAUAUAUCACAGGCAAAUCUCUCAAAGAAAUGUAUGUAAGCUUUGUUAUUUUAAAAUAACACAUGCAUAGACAUUAAUAGAAUUUAAUUCUAGUAAAUGCUUUUUUCUACUUCUGCUUUAAGAAACCAAUUUCUUGUUGAAAUAGUGUCUCAGCCCCUAACUAUACGAUACUUGUUGCAUCAAUUUCAACUUGUUAAUUUGAAAAUGUGUAGUUAUUCCUGGAACAUUUCAUACCACCAACUUUCCUGAAUAUAAAUUCAGGAAAUAGAACCUAACCAUGGUGAAUGAAGAAAGCAAGUCACUCUCCACUUCUAACAAUAAAAUCAUUGGUUAAUUAGCAAAAUUAUAAAUCUUGGUUUUGAUAUUAAGAUAUAAUACAUUUCCUCCUUUUGUUCGAUGUUGGAUUAUAGAAAACUUAGAAUGAUUCUUCCUUGAUUAAUCCCAAGAGCUUGACUUGAGAAGAGGCAAACUCCAUUUAGUUGUGCAAACCCUGGGAAUAAGGAUACACUGACUGAUAAAGAAGGCAAAAUCCCAGCCACCUCUGUUUGCACACGAGGAAGGAAUCCCUCAGUGAGGUCUGCUCACAUGGCACUGGACUGCCCUCGCAAUUAGAGCACCAUACUUUCCUGGGCACAUGGUGUCUGCAUUGUUCAUGUCCUCUGAAGCGUUGCACAGUGUUUAGUGGGGUACUUAGCACACAGCAGGCACGCCGUGUUGCCAGUGGCCAGCAUUUCCACACUUCCAAUACUGAUGGACAAAAUCUUACUCAGUCUAGAUAUUUGUAUCAGUCAACACUGAAUUAUCUUUGCUUAAAUAUCUACUGGAAGAUUUUCUGGAUUAUCUUGAUAAGCUUUGCCAUUUGGAGCAAAGCACUAAGACUUCAGUUUUCUCGUUUAUAAAAUGAGGGAGGCAUACAAAAUGAUUUCUGAGCACUCUCCUGUAUUGAAGUG
rnacentral:lncRNA from 1 species